UUGAGGUUGUGGUGUUUUUGAACUUGCGUUUGUGGUGUUUUGUACUUGAGUUUGUGUCAUUUUUCAACUUGAGGUUGUGGAACUUGUUAAACUUGAGAAUGAGGUGUUGAUUGAACUUGAGUAUUUUUUUUUUAACUUGAGUUUGUGUCGUGUUUGAGCUCGAAAUUGUGGUGCUUUUGAAUUUGAGUUUGCGUGUUUUUUGAUCUUGAGUUUGUUGUUUCUGAACUUGAGGUUUUGGCAAUUGUUGAACUUGAGUCUGUGGUUUUUAGUGAACUUUAGUUGGUUGCAAUUGUUGAACAUGAGUUUAUGGCGUAAAAUUGAGAAUUGGGUGUUGGUUGAACUUAAAAGUUUGACAUUUGUUGAACUUGAGUGUGGUUUUUGUUGAACUUGAGUUUGUGUCGUGUUUGAGCUCGAGUUUGUGGUGUUUAUGAAUUUGAGUUUGCGUGUUUGUUAAACUUGAGUUUGUGUUUUUUUUUAACUUGAGUUUGUUGUUUCUGAACUUGAGUUUGUGGCAAUUGUUGAACUUGAGUUUGACAUUUGUUGAACUUGGGUUUGUGGUUUUUGUUGAACUUGAGUUUGUGGUGUUUUUGAACUUGAGGUUGUGGAAUUUGUUAAACUUGAGAAUUGGGUAUUGGUUGAAAUUGAGUUUGUGUGUUUGUUGAACUUGAGUUUGUGUCGUGUUUGAACUUGAGUUUAUGGUUUUUUUUAACUUGAGUUUGUGGUGUUUUUGAACUUGAGGUUGUUAGAAAUUGUUAAACUUGAAAAUUUGGUAUUGGUUGAACUUGAGUUUGUGUGUUUGUUGAACUUGAGUUUGUUCCGUUUGUUGAACUUGAGUUUCUGUUGUUUUUGAACUUGAAUUUGUGUCGUGUUUGAACUUGAGUUUGUGGCGACUGUUGAACUUGAGUUUGUGGUGUUUUUGAAAUUGAGGGUGUGGAAUUUGUUAAUCUUGAGAAUUGGGUAUUGGUUGAACUUGAGUUUGUGUUUUUGUUGAACUUGAGUUUGUGUCGACUUUGAACUUGAGUUUGUGGUGUUUUUUAACUUGAUUUUGUGUGUUUGUUGAACUUGAGUUUGUGUUUGAACUUGAGUUUGUGGUGUUUUUGAACUUGAGUUUGUGUCGUGUUUUAACUUGAGUUUGUGGCGUUUGUUGAACUUGAGUUUGUGUCGUGUCUGAACUUGAGUUUGUGGUGUUUUUGAACUUGAGUUUUCUGGUGUUUUUGAACUUGAGGGUGUGGAAUUUGUUAAACUUGAGAAUUGGGUAUUGGUUUAACUUGAGUUUGUGUCGAGUUUGAACUUGAGUUUGUGGUGUUUUUUAACUUGAUUUUGUGUGUUUUUUGAACUUGAGUUUCUGUAUUUUUUGAACUUGAAUUUGUGUCGUGUUUGAACUUGAGUUUGUGGCGUUUGUUGAACUUGAGUUUGUGUCAUGUCUGAACAUGAGUUUGUGGUGUUUUUGAACUUGAGUUUGUGGUGUUUUUGAACUUGAUUUCGUGUUUGAACUUGAGUUUGUGGUGUUUUUGAACUUGAGUUUGUGUCGUGUUUUAACCCGAGUUUGUGUGUUUGUUUAACUUGAUUUUGUGUUUAUGUUUGAACUUGAGUUUGUGGGGUUUUUGAACUUGUGUUUGUGGUGUUUUUGAACUUGAGUUUGUGGCGUUUGUUGAACUUGAGUUUCUGUUGUUUUUGAACUUGAAUUUGUGUCGUGUUUGAACUUGAGUUUGUGGCGUUUUUUGAACUUUAAUUUGUGUCGUGUUUGAACUUGAGUUUGUGGCGACUGUUGAACUUGAGUUUGAGGUGUUUUUGAAAUUGAGGGUGUGGAAUUUGUUAAUCUUGAGAAUUGGGUAUUGGUUGAACUUGAGUUUGUGUUUUGUUGAACUUGAGUUUGUGUCGAGUUUGAACUUGAGUUUAUGGUGUUUUUUAAAUUUAUUUUGUGUGUUUGUUGAACUUGAGUUUGUGUUUGAACUUGAGUUUGUGGUGUUUUUGAACUUGAGUUUGUGUCGUGUCUGAACUUGAGUUUGUGGUGUUUUUGAACUUGAGUUUUCUGGUGUUUUUGAACUUGAGGGUGUGGAAUUUGUUAAACUUGAGAAUUGGGUAUUGGUUUAACUUGAGUUUGUGUCGAGUUUGAACUUGAGUUUGUGGUGUUUUUUAACUUGAUUUUGUGUGUUUUUUGAACUUGAGUUUCUGUAUUUUUUGAACUUGAAUUUGUGUCGUGUUUGAACUUGAGUUUGUGGCGUUUGUUGAACUUGAGUUUGUGUCAUGUAUGAACAUGAGUUUGUGGUGUUUUUGAACUUGAGUUUGUGGUGUUUUUGAAGUUGAUUUGUUGUUUGAACUUGAGUUUGUGGUGUUUUUGAACUUGAGUUUGUGUCGUGUUUUAACCUGAGUUUGUGUGUUUGUUUAACUUGAUUUUGUGUUUAUGUUUGAACUUGAGUUUGUGGGGUUUUUGAACUUGAGUUUGUGGUGUUUUUGAACUUGAGUUUGUGGCGUUUGUUGAACUUGAGUUUCUGUUGUUUUUGAACUUGAAUUUGUGUCGUGUUUGAACUUGAGUUUGUGGCGUUUGUUGAACUUGAGUUUGUGGUGUUUUUGAACUUGAGGGUGUGGAAUUUGUUAAUCUUGAGAAUUGUGUUUUGGUUGAACUUGAGUUUGUGUUUUUGUUGAACUUGAGUUUGUGUCGAGUUUGAACUUGAGUUUGUGGUGUUUUUUAACUUGAUUUUGUGUUUGUUGAACUUGAGUUGUGUUUGAACUUGAGUUUGUAGUAUUUUUGAACUUGAGUUUGUGUCGUGUUUUAACUUGAGUUUGUGUGUUUGUUUAACUUGAGUUUGUGUUGUGUUUGAACUUGAGUUUGUGGCGUUUGUUGAACUUGAGUUUCUGUUGUUUUUGAACUUGAACUUUUUGUCGUGUUUAAACUUGAGUUUGUGGUGUUUGUUGAACUUGAGUUUGUGUCGUGUCUGAACUUGAGUUUGUGGUGUUUUUGAACUUGAGUUUUCUGGUGUUUUUGAACUUGAGGGUGUGGAAUUUGUUAAACUUCAGAAUUGGGUAUUGGUUUAACUUGAGUUUGUGUGUUUGUUGAACUUGAGUUUGUGUCGAGUUUGAACUUGAGUUUGUGGUGUUUUUUAACUUGUUUUUGUGUGUUUGUUGAACUUGAGUUUGUGUUUGAACUUGAGUUUGUGGUGUUUAUUGAACUUGAGUUUGUGUCGUGUCUGAACUUGAGUUUGUGGUGUUUUUGAACUUGAGUUUUCUGGUGUUUUUGAACUUGAGGGUGUGGAAUUUGUUAAACUUCAGAAUUGGGUAUUGGUUGAACUUGAGUUUGUGUGUUUGUUGAACUUGAGUUUGUGUCGAGUUUGAACUUGAGUUUGUGGUGUUUUUUAACUUGUUUUUGUGUGUUUGUUGAACUUGAGUUUGUGUUUGAACUUGAGUUUGUGGUGUUUUUGAACUUGAGUUUGUGUCGUGUUUUAACUUGAGUUUGUGUUGUUGUUUAACUUGAUUUUGUGUCGUGUCUGAACUUGAGUUUGUGGUGUUUUUGAACUUGAGUUUUCUGGUGUUUUUGAACUUGAGGGUGUGGAAUUUGUUAAACUUGAGAAUUGGGUAUUGGUUUAACUUGAGUUUGUGUCGAGUUUGAACUUGAGUUUGUGGUGUUUUUUAACUUGAUUUUGUGUGUUAUUUGAACUUGAGUUUCUGUUGUUUUUGAACUUGAAUUUGUGUCGUGUUUGAACUUGAGUUUGUGGCGUUUGUUGAACUUGAGUUUGUGUCAUGUCUGAACAUGAGUUUGUGGUGUUUUUGAACUUGAGUUUGUGGUGUUUUUGAACUUGAUUUCGUGUUUGAACUUGAGUUUGUGGUGUUUUUGAACUUGAGUUUGUGUCGUGUUUUAACCUGAGUUUGUGUGUUUGUUUAACUUGAUUUUGUGUUUAUGUUUGAACUUGAGUUUGUGGGGUUUUUGAACUUGAGUUUGUGGUGUUUGUUGAACUUGAGUUUCUGUUGUUUUUGAACUUGAAUUUGUGUCGUGUUUGAACUUGAGUUUGUGGCGUUUGUUGAACUUGAGUUUGUGGUGUUUUUGAACUUGAGGGUGUGGAAUUUGUUAAACUUGAGAAUUGGGUAUUGGUUUAACUUGAGUUUGUGUCGAGUUUGAACUUGAGUUUGUGGUGUUUUUUAACUUGAUUUUGUGUGUUAUUUGAACUUGAGUUUCUGUAUUUAUUGAACUUGAAUUUGUGUCGUGUUUGAACUUGAGUUUGUGGCGUUUGUUGAACUUGAGUUUGUGUCAUGUCUGAACAUGAGUUUGUGGUGUUUUUGAACUUGAGUUUGUGGUGUUUUUGAACUUGAUUUCGUGUUUGAACUUGAGUUUGUGGUGUUUUUGAACUUGAGUUUGUGUCGUGUUUUAACCUGAGUUUGUGUGUUUGUUUAACUUGAUUUUGUGUUUAUGUUUGAACUUGAGUUUGUGGGGUUUUUGAACUUGAGUUUGUGGUGUUUGUUGAACUUGAGUUUCUGUUGUUUUUGAACUUGAAUUUGUGUCGUGUUUGAACUUGAGUUUGUGGCGUUUGUUGAACUUGAGUUUGUGGUGUUUUUGAACUUGAGGGUGUGGAAUUUGUUAAUCUUGAGAAUUGGGUUUUGGUUGAACUUGAGUUUUUGUUUUUGUUGAACUUGAGUUUGUGUCGAGUUUGAACUUGAGUUUGUGGUGUUUUUUAACUUGAUUUUGUGUUUGUUGAACUUGAGUUGUGUUUGAACUUGAGUUUGUAGUAUUUUUGAACUUGAGUUUGUGUUGUGUUUGAACUUGAGUUUGUGGCGUUUGUUGAACUUGAGUUUCUGUUGUUUUUGAACUUGAAUUUGUGUCAUGUUUGAACUUGAGUCUGUGGUGUUUGUUGAACUUGAGUUUGUGUCGUGUCUGAACUUGAGUUUGUGGUGUUUUUGAACUUGAGUUUUCUGGUGUUUUUGAACUUGAGGGUGUGGAAUUUGUUAAACUUCAGAAUUGGCUAUUGGUUUAACUUGAGUUUGUGUGUUUGUUGAACUUGAGUUUGUGUCGAGUUUGAACUUGAGUUUGUGGUGUUUUUUAACUUGUUUUUGUGUGCUUGUUGAACUUGAGUUUGUGUUUGAACUUGAGUUUGUGGUGUUUUUGAACUUGAGUUUGUGUCGUGUUUUAACUUGAGUUUGUGUUGUUGUUUAACUUGAUUUUGUGUUGUGUUUGAACUUGAGUUUGUGGUGUUUUUCAACUUGAGUUUGUUGAAAUUUUGAAACUUGAGAAUCAGGUGUUGGAUGAACUUCAGUUAGUGUGUUUGUUGAACUUGAGUUUGUAUCACGUUGGAAAUUUAGUUUGUGGUUUUUGUUGAACUUGUGUUUGUGGUUUUUUUGAACUUGAGUUUGUUUCUUGUUUGAACUUGAGUUCGUGGCGUUUUUUGAAAUUGAGUUUGUGUGUUUUUUUAACUUGAGUAUCUGUUGUUUUUUGAACUUGAAGUUGUGUUCUUUUUUAACUUGAGGGUGUGGAAUUUGUUAAACUUGAGAAUUGGGUUUUGGUUGAACUUGAGUUUGUGGUGUUUUUGAACUUGAGUUUGUUUCGUGUUUGAACUUGAGUUUGUGGGGUUUGUUGAACUUGAGUUUCUGUUGUUUUUGAACUUGAAUUUAAGUCUUGUUUGAAAUUGAGUUUGUGGCGUUUGUUGAACUUGAGUUUGUGUCGUGUCUGAACUUGAGUUUGUGGUGUUUUUGAACUUGAGGUUGUGGUGUUUUUGAACUUGAGGGUGUGGAAUUUGUUAAUCUUGAGAAUUGGGUAUUGGUUGAACUUGAGUUUGUGUUUUUGUUGAACUUGAGUUUGUGUCGAGUUUGAACUUGAGUUUGUGGUGUUUUUUAACUUGAGUUUGUGUGUUUGUUGAACUUGAGUUUGUGUUAUGUUUGAACUUGAGUUUGUGUCGUGUAUGAACUUGAGUUUGUGUUGUGUUUUGAACUUGAGUUUUUGGUGUUUUUGAACUUGAGGGUGUGGAAUUUGUUAAACUUGAGAAUUGGGUAUUGGUUGAAUUUGAGUUUGUGUGUUUGUUGAAUUUGAGUUUGUGUCAUGUUUGAACUUGAGUUUGUGUGUUUGUUGAACUUGAGUUGUGGCGUUUGGUGAAAUCUAGGUUGUGGCAAUUGUUAAACUUGAGAUUUGGUUGUUGGUUGAACUUGAGUUUGUGUCGUGUUUGAACUUGAGUUCGUGUUGUUUUUUGAACUUGAAUUUGUGUGUUUUUUUAACUUAAUUUUUUUUGAACUUGAGUUUGUGGCAAUUGUUGAACUUGAGUCUGUGGUUUUUGGUGAACUUUUAUUGGUGGCAAUUGUUGAACUUGAGUUUGUGGUGUUUUUGAACUUGAGUUUGUUUCGUGUUUGAACUUUGUUUGUGGUGUUUUUGAACUUGAGUUUUUGGUGUUUUUGAACUUGAGGGUGUGUUUUGUUUUUGAACUUGAGUUUUUGGUGUUUUUGAACUUGAGGGUGUGGAAUUUGUUAACUUGAGAAUUGGGUAUUGGUUGAAUUUGAGUUUGUGUGUUUGUUGAACUUGAGUUUGUGUCAUGUUUGAACUUGAGUUUGUGGUCUUUUUGAACUUGAGUUUGUGUGUUUGUUUAACUUGAGUUGUGGCGUUUGUUGAACUCUAGGUUGUGGCAAUUGUUAAACUUGAGAUUUGGUUGUUGGUUGAACUUGAGUUUGUGUCGUGUUUGAACUUGAGUUCGUGUUUGUUGAACUUGAAUUUGUGUGUUUUUUGAACUUAAUUUUUUUGAACUUGAGUUUGUGGCAAUUGUUGAACUUGAGUCUGUGGUUUUUGGUGAACUUUAAUUGGUGGCAAUUGUUGAACUUGAGUUUGUGGUGUUUUUGAACUUGAGUUUGUUUCGUGUUUGAACUUUGUUUGUGGUGUUUUUGAACUUGAGUUUUUGGUGUUUUUGAACUUGAGGGUGUGUUGUGUUUUUGAACUUGAGUUUGUGGUGUUUUUGAACUUGAGUUUGUUUCGUGUUUGAACUUGAGUUUGUGGCGUUUGUUGAACUCUAGGUUGUGGCAAUUGUUGAACUUGAGAUUUGGGUGUUGGUUCAACUUAAAAGUUUGGCAUUUGUUGAACUUAAGUUUGUGUGUUUGUUGAACUUAAGUUUGUGUCUUGUUUGAACUUGAGUUUGUGGUGUUUUUUGAACUUUAGUUUUGGUGUCUUUGAACUUGAGUUUGUGGUGUUUUUGAACUUGAGUUUGAAUCGUGGUUGAACUUGAUUUUGUGGUGUUUUCGAAAUUGAGGGUGUGUUGUGUUUUUGAACUUGAGGUUGUGGUGUUUUUGAACUUGAGUUUGUUUCGUGUUUGAACUUGAGUUUGUGGCGUUUGUUGAACUCUAGGUUGUGGCAAUUGUUGAACUUGAGAUUUGGGUGUUGGUUCAACUUAAAAGUUUGGCAUUUGUUGAACUUGAGUUUGUGUGUUUGUUGAACUUAAGUUUGUGUCUUGUUUGAACUUGAGUUUGUGGUGUUUUCAAACUUGAGUUUGUGGUGUUUUUGAACUUGAGGUGUUGGAAAUUGUGAAACUUGAGAAUUGGGUAUUGGUUGAACUUGAGUUUGUGUGUUUGUUGAACAAGAGAUUGUGUUGUGUUUUAACUUCAGUUUGUAGUGUUUUUUGAACUUGAGGUUGUGGUGUUUUUGAACUUGAGUUUGUGGUGUUUUGUACUUGAGUUUGUGUUAUUUUUCAACUUGAGGUUGUGGAAAAACGUAAACUUGAGAUUUGGGUGUUGAUUGAACUUGAGUUUGUUUCGUGUUUGAUCUUGAGGUUGUGGUGUUUUUGAACUUGAGGUUUCUUGUUUGUUUAACUUGAGUUUGUGUGUUUGUUGAACUUGAGUCUGUGUUAUGUUUGAACUUGAGUUUGUGUCGUGUAUGAACUUGAGUUUGUGUCGUGUUUUUGAACUUGAGUUUUUGGUGUUUUUGAACUUGAGGGUGUGGAAUUUGUUAAACUUGAGAAUUGGGUAUUGUUUGAAUUUGAGUUUGUGUGUUUGUUGAACUUGAGUUUGUAUCAUGUUUGAACUUGAGUUUGUGGUCUUUUUGAACUUGAGUUUGUGUGUUUGUUGAACUCUAGGUUGUGGCAAUUGUUAAACUUGAGAUUUGGUUGUUGGUUGAACUUGAGUUUGUGUUGUGUUUGAACUUGAGUUCGUGUUGUUUGUUGAACUUGAAUUUGUGUGUUUUUUUAACUUAAUUUUUUUGAACUUGAGUUUGUGGCAAUUGUUGAACUUGAGUCUGUGGUUUUUGGUGAACUUUAAUUGGUGGCAAUUGUUGAACUUGAGUUUGUGGUGUUUUUGAACUUGAGUUUGUUUCGUGUUUGAACUUUGUUUGUGGUGUUUUUGAACUUGGGUUUUUGGUGUUUUUGAACUUGAGGGUGUGUUGUGUUUUUGAACUUGAGUUUGUGGUGUUUUUGAACAUGAGGUUGUUUCGUGUUUGAACUUGAGUUUGUGGCGUUUGUUGAACUCUAGGUUGUGGCAAUUGUUGAACUUGAGAUUUGGGUGUUGGUUCAACUUAAAAGUUUGGCAUUUGUUGAACUUGAGUUUGUGUGUUUGUUGAACUUAAGUUUGUGUCUUGUUUGAACUUGAGUUUGUGGUGUUUUCAAACUUGAGUUUGUGUGUUUUUUGAACUUUAGUUUUUGGUGUCUGAACUUGAGUUUGUGGUGUUUUUGAACUUGAGUUUGAAUCGUGGUUGAACUUGAGUUUGUGGUGUUUUUGAACUUGAGAGUGUGUUGUGUUUUUGAACUUGAGGUUGUGGUGUUUUUGAACUCUAGGUUGUGGCAAUUGUUGAACUUGAGAUUUGGGUGUUGGUUCAACUUAAAAGUUUGGCAUUUGUUGAACUUAAGUUUGUGUGUUUGUUGAACUUAAGUUUGUGUCUUGUUUGAACUUGAGUUUGUGGUGUUUUUUGAACUUUAGUUUUGGUGUCUUUGAACUUGAGUUUGUGGUGUUUUUGAACUUGAGUUUGAAUCGUGGUUGAACUUGAUUUUGUGGUGUUUUCGAAAUUGAGGGUGUGUUGUGUUUUUGAACUUGAGGUUGUGGUGUUUUUGAACUUGAGUUUGUUUCUUGUUUGCACUUGAGUUUGUGGCGUUUGUUGAACUCUAGGUUGUGGCAAUUGUUGAACUUGAGAUUUGGGUGUUGGUUCAACUUAAAAGUUUGGCAUUUGUUGAACUUGAGUUUGUGUUUGUUGAACUUAAGUUUGUGUCUUGUUUGAACUUGAGUUUGUGGUGUUUUCAAACUUGAGUUUGUGGUGUUUUUGAACUUGAGGUGUUGGAAAUUGUGAAACUUGAGAAUUGGGUAUUGGUUGAACUUGAGUUUGUGUGUUUGUUGAACAAGAGAUUGUGUUGUGUUUUAACUUCAGUUUGUAGUGUUUUUUGAACUUGAGGUUGUGGUGUUUUUGAACUUGAGUUUGUGGUGUUUUGUACUUGAGUUUGUGUUAUUUUUCAACUUGAGGUUGUGGAAAAACGUAAACUUGAGAUUUGGGUGUUGAUUGAACUUGAGUUUGUUUCGUGUUUGAUCUUGAGGUUGUGGUGUUUUUGAACUUGAGGUUUCUUGUUUGUUUAACUUGAGUUUGUGUGUUUGUUGAACUUGAGUUUGUGUUAUGUUUGAACUUGAGUUUGUGUCGUGUAUGAACUUGAGUUUGUGUCGUGUUUUUGAACUUGAGUUUUUGGUGUUUUUGAACUUGAGGGUGUGGAAUUUGUUAAACUUGAGAAUUGGGUAUUGUUUGAAUUUGAGUUUGUGUGUUUGUUGAACUUGAGUUUGUAUCAUGUUUGAACUUGAGUUUGUGGUCUUUUUGAACUUGAGUUUGUGUGUUUGUUGAACUCUAGGUUGUGGCAAUUGUUAAACUUGAGAUUUGGUUGUUGGUUGAACUUGAGUUUGUGUUGUGUUUGAACUUGAGUUCGUGUUGUUUGUUGAACUUGAAUUUGUGUGUUUUUUGAACUUAAUUUUUUUGAACUUAAGUUUGUGGCAAUUGUUGAACUUGAGUCUGUGGUUUUUGGUGAACUUUAAUUGGUGGCAAUUGUUGAACUUGAGUUUGUGGUGUUUUUGAACUUGAGUUUGUUUCGUGUUUGAACUUUGUUUGUGGUGUUUUUGAACUUGGGUUUUUGGUGUUUUUGAACUUGAGGGUGUGUUGUGUUUUUGAACUUGAGUUUGUGGUGUUUUUGAACUUGAGGUUGUUUCGUGUUUGAACUUGAGUUUGUGGCGUUUGUUGAACUCUAGGUUGUGGCAAUUGUUGAACUUGAGAUUUGGGUGUUGGUUCAAC